CUUAUGAAUUCUUAAUUAAUCUUUUGGCCACACAAAAGUCAGUCACAAGUAACAUUUAGAAGGAAAAGUUUAAAGAAAAUUUGGAUUAUUAACUAGAUUUGGAAGAAAAAAUUUAAUUUAAACUAAAAUUGAAAUACUGUUCAUAAGGGCAAUGUUUUUCAAAUUUUGGCCCUAGCUCUGUUUAUGUUACUACGCCUCUGCCUCUGCCUCUGCCACGCCUCUGAUCGUCGUUCUCUUUCUCUCUUUCUCUCGACACCUCGAUUCAGAACCCCUACCCACGAACCCAGAAACACCUCAAACAACCACCAUCAUCUCGAUUCAGAACCCCUACCCACGAACCCAGAAACACCUCAAACAACCACCAUUCUCAUCCUUUCGACCUCACGAACCGAAGUCCAUACCCAAUCUCACUCCCCAGGUCAGAUUUAUACCUUGAAUGUACCAUUUUUUGUGAUUUUAUCCCUAAAACUCAUGAGUUUUCUGACGUUUUUGCAACGAUUUCGGCGAAGGCUGGCGUCGACUUGGUCUCAAACGAUUUCUCAGCACCUCAGGUAUAAAGAUCUACUUCAAAUUUGUGAUCAAUAUAAUUGGGUCCUAGUAAAUUUUUCAUCAUUUUGUAGAUUUUUUUUUCCUUCUAACUUUAUGGGUUUUGGAGAAUGUUUCGUUAAAUUUCUGGGUUUUUUUCUGUGUGAUUUUAUCUCGAAUUUAAUAAUUUUUUGUAUGUUUUGUACAAUUCUUAGAUUAAAUUUCUGAAGUGAUAAGCCAAAUUCAAGUUUGAAAAAAAAAAAAAAAAAAUUAUUAUACCUGUUUUGUUUAUGUGGCAAAAACAAACAACCACCAUUCUCAUCCUUUCGACCUCACGAACCGAAGUCCAUACCCAAUCUCACUCCCCAGGCUGGCGUCGACUUGGUCUCAAACGAUUUCUCAGCACCUCAGUCACGAGACGAAAAGGCUUUGAAGGCAAAAGCAAGACCAAAGGACUUUGAAGGCAAAAGCUAGAAAUGGAGGGUGUGUGUGGAUUGUGGACUAUUAAUUGGGCAGGGGAAGCAAAAGAAUAUGCAGAGAGGUGGGGUUUACGUGUGAGGGCAGAGUAAGGAGAGGAAGCAAAAGCAUCAAUAUAUAUACACUUUAAGCAAGUGACUCUUUACCACAAUGGUGGAAAUGUGUUAAGCUCUUGCAUGACGUGAGUUCAAAUUCCGUUAGUGGCUAAUCUAAUAUCUAAUAUAACAAAAUUCAUCAUUUGACAAAAAUACACGCACACACACACUCUAAGAUCUACUCCAACCCUUGAAGUAAAACUCAAAUUUUAGGUUUCAUAUAUAUGUA